rnacentral:rRNA from 1 species
UUAUACAGCGAAACUGCGAAUGGCUCAUUAUAUAAGUUAUCGUUUAUUUGAUAGUACCUUACUACUUGGAUAACCGUGGUAAUUCUAGAGCUAAUACAUGCUAAAAAUCCCGACUUACGAAGGGAUGUAUUUAUUAGAUUAAAAACCAAUGCCCUUCGGGGCUCACUGGUGAUUCAUAAUAACUUCUCGAAUCGCAUGGCCUUGCGCCGGCGAUGGUUCAUUCAAAUUUCUUCCCUAUCAACUUUCGAUGCUAGAGUAGUGUUCUAGCAUGGUUACAACGGGUAACGGAGGGUUAGGGCUCGACCCCGGAGAAGGAGCCUGAGAAACGGCUACUACAUCCAAGGAAGGCAGCAGGCGCGCAAAUUACCCAAUCCCGACACGGGGAGGUAGUGACGAUAAAUACUGAUACAGGGCUCUUUUGGGUCUUGUAAUUGGAAUGAGUACAAUUUAAAUCCCUUAACGAGGAACAAUUGGAGGGCAAGUCUGGUGCCAGCAGCCGCGGUAAUUCCAGCUCCAAUAGCGUAUAUUAAAGUUGUUGUGGUUAAAAAGCUCGUAGUAGAACCUUGGGCCUGGCUGGCCGGUCCGCCUCACCGCGUGCACUGGUCCGGCCGGGCCUUUCCCCCUGUGGAACCUCAUGCCCUUCACUGGGUGUGUGGGAAAACAGGACUUUUACUUUGAAAAAAUUAGAGUGCUCCAGGCAGGCCUAUGCUCGAAUACAUUAGCAUGGAAUAAUAGAAUAGGACGUGUGGUUCUAUUUUGUUGGUUUCUAGGACCGCCGUAAUGAUUAAUAGGGACAGUCGGGGGCAUCAGUAUUCAAUUGUCAGAGGUGAAAUUCUUGGAUUUAUUGAAGACUAACUACUGCGAAAGCAUUUGCCAAGGAUGUUUUCAUUUAUCAGGAACGAAAGUUAGGGGAUCGAAGACGAUCAGAUACCGUCGUAGUCUUAACCAUAAACUAUGCCGACUAGGGAUCGGACGAUGUUAUUUUUUGACUCGUUCGGCACCUUACGAGAAAUCAAAGU